GCUCACCCUUAUUAACAGGAAUGGUUCCUUUGCAGCAUGUAUCAACAAUCAGUCGUUUCCUUUUUCACAAAGUGAACUUUAAAUCUCUUCUUUUCCUUGCCCCAAGACCUUUCAUGGCAUUUGAUAUCGACUCUCAAGUAUGUUGAAAUGGAAAAUAGUAUGCAAGUUGCACAGAGCAGGAAGAAGAAUGGUUACUCUGACUACAAUAACCUUAGCCUCCUUCUUUAUGAAUACAACAUGCAUUUUCCAUACAGCCAGGAACAGACUUCAGAACACACGAGACAGGAUGGUAGUUUCAUCUCUUGGACCUUGGUUUCCCCAUGAAGAAAGACCGUACGCCUUCCUUGCCGAAGCCCAGGUAAAUGCCCCUCCAAGGGAACACUGCUACAGGUGUUAAGUGUGAGCAACACUCAUGUUUUUA
rnacentral:lncRNA from 1 species